rnacentral:rRNA from 1 species
AGCGAACGCUGGCGGCAUGCCCAACACAUGCAAGUCGCACGGGGGGGCUUCGGCCUCCCAGUGGCGGACGGGUGAGGAACGCGUAGGGACCUGUCGAGGGGUGGGGGAUAACCGCGGGAAACUGCGGCUAAUACCGCAUGACGCCGCGGCGUGACAGCCGGGGCCAAAGGCGAAAGCCGCCCGCCGAGGGGCCUGCGUCCGAUUAGCUGGUUGGCGGGGUAGCGGCCCACCAAGGCGUCGAUCGGUAGCUGGUCUGAGAGGGUGAUCAGCCACACCGGGACUGAGACACGGCCCGGACUCCUACGGGAGGCAGCAGUGGGGAAUAUUGGACAAUGGGCGCAAGCCUGAUCCAGCAAUGCCGCGUGGGUGAAGAAGGUCUUCGGAUUGUAAAGCCCUUUCGGCGGGGACGAUGGUGACGGUACCCGCAGAAGAAGCCCCGGCUAACUUCGUG